GACCGGUUUGUCUGCUGC
rnacentral:rRNA from 1 species